GUGUCCAGGCUGUCGGUGGAGAUUUGGUAGCCUACCUCUACUGUGGAUCCCACACUAGUUCGAAUUUUUCUGGAUUGCUGUGCAUUUGCAUUCAUGCGGUACACCUCCUUGUCAUCCCCAACAUUACUUUAUUACCUGGAAUAAGUAAAUUCUUGCCAGAAGUCCCUGGUUGCCUGGUGUAAGAACACAUCAUAAUUAUCUCAUUAAUAUUUGGUCCUGGCUUCCCUGCUAAUCAGGUUAGUAUUGCUGAGAAUUCAAAGGAAGAGAACAGAAAUUUACCAAGAAGGAAUAAAUUGGUCCUCAGACUACAGUUCCAGGAAGCUGCCUUAGGACAAAAGUUUGCCUGCUAGUGAAAUAAGAGGCAAUCUCAACCACUCUCAUCACUUCAGUUAUCCUGAAUGAUUUGAAAACUAACUCAUCCUGACAUUUCCUGUGGUCCAAACCUCCAAAAUGAUAACAACAACAGAAAGUUCAAGUGGCCUUACUG